GUCCAUUUACCCAGGACAAGAAAACAUAUGAUAUUACUCUUAUUUUUUCAACCACAAUGGAUUUGAACUUUUAGAAAAUUGAAAAUGCAAGAUACAGAUUUUAUUUUUUUUAAGUUAUUUAUUUAUUUAUUUAUUUAUUUCUGGCGGCGUUGUUUCUUCGUUGCUGUGCAUGGGCUUUGUCUAGUUGCGGGGAGCGGGGGCUACUCUUCGUUGUGGCGCGCAGGCUUCUCAUUGCGGUGUCUUCUCUUGUUGCAGAGCACAGGCUCUAGGGCAUGCCGGCUUCAGUAGUUUCGGUGCACGGGCUCAGUAGUUGUGGCUCGCGGGCUCUAGAGUGUAGGCUCAGUAGUUGCGGCGCAUGGGCUUAGUUGCUUUGUGGCAUGUGGGAUCUUCCCAGACCAGGGUUCGAACCCGUGUCUCCUGCAUUGGCAGGCGGAUUCUUAACCACUGCGCCACCAGUGAAGCCCAAGAUACAGAUUUUAAUAAGAAAAUAUUAGGCAACAGUUCUCUUAUCUCUAUGUCUUUUUCUAUCUCAUUGAUUGUGAAGAAUACAAUCAUAGAGAAAGCAAAAUCUACAUCAGUUGAAAAUUUUUUCCACCUGCAUGCAUAUUAGAGUGGAUGUGUAACAUCUUCACAGGGUUUGUGAAAUCACUAUUUCACCACAGAAAUUAAAUAUGACACUAAAAUGAUCUGACACUAAUUAGUCCAUUGAAUAAGGGGAGGAGGAUUGGCAUUUGGUCAUCGUUUAGAAGAAAAAAAAAUCAUUAACCUGUUAGGCAAAAUACUUGUCUUUAAAUUAUCCCGUAAUAAAUAUACUAGAAAAUGAAAUCAAAUGGCAGUACAGUGUUAUGAAAGGAAAGCAAUUGGGUUGAUCUCAAAGUGAGUGAGUAUAAAAAUCAAUGUUUUUUGUUUAGUUUGUUAAUAAUUUUAUUCUUAGAGCUCCAAGGCAGCUAGCUUUUGGUCAUUUUUAAGAUCAAUCAAAAAGUUCUAAACAUUAUUUUUAAGGUAUGCAGAUCACUAGGCCCUCCCCGCCUCCUUUCUCUCUUUCUUUUAAUUUUUAAAUUUAUUUUGGGGAGUUUUGGCUACCAUUUAUGUUCUAAUCAUGUUUUUCAGGAAGUGAAUUUGAACUUUGAACCUCACCUAGUUUGAAUCCUACCUCUAUUGUUUUCUAUCUCUAUGACUUAGGGUAAGUUACUUAACCACUGUGAAUUGUUUCUGGAUAUUUAAAACAGGGAAAUCACAGGGUUGUUGCGAAGAUGAAAGAAGAUAACAUAAAAGGGAACUUACUGCAGUGUUUGAGACAUAGUAAGGGUUAGUAAAUAUUUCCAAUUUUUAUCUUUCUAAUUCUCGUGAGCAGUUUACAAUGAGAUCUCAUUACCACAGAUUUUCCCUAAAAUUAUGAACCUUUUCCUACCCCUCUCCAUUUUAAACCAAACCUUGAAAUGACUGAACCUCAUAGGAAGAUGUCUCAAUGCAGGUAAUCCCAGUAGCAGGAGAGGUUGAAGCUACCACAAUGCAAAGUUGUCAGGCUCUGAUCUGGCAGUAGCUGUGGGAAUUAGUCUUAGCUUCUAUUUUUAACUCUGCAAGGAGUUGAUUGGAUGACCUGGGAAAACUCAGUUGGCAUCUUAUUUUCUUUCUGAAUUUCUUUCUGCGUCUUAUUUUCUUUCUGAAUUGUACCAUUUGUCUAAUCACUCUUUUCACUGACUCAUUAUCAGAAAUGAUAUGAAGGUUGUUGAAUUAGGGUGUUGAUUUCAGAAGUAAUGUUAUAGAAAAUGGGAAUUGUUCCCUUUCUUAAAAGCAAUAGUUGACAAUUUUAUUUUAUUUUUUUCUGAUACAGUGUUGAAGUUCCUGGGAGAGGGCAACUUUAAUUUAUAAAGAGUCGUUAACAUUCACUUCCUCUAACAAAAGCCUUUGAAGUUUCCUGAGUUUCUGGGAAGGCCUGGUUUCCCCAAAGGAAUGAUUUCUGGUAGAAGUCUGAAGGUCUGACCCAAGAAAAAAACUCCAGUAUAGCCAAUGAAUUGAGGACAAGAAGGUUUCCAAUCAGUGUGAUCCCAGAAGUCUCACCAAGAGAUGGUGUUGAUUCUUCUCAGUGCAAGAGGGAUCAUGAUUGACUGAUGGCUCCAGUUACUGUUACCAGCACAGGACAGAGCCUGGUGUGGCCAAGAAAGCGGGCCAUUCCUGUGAAUACAAGACUGCCCCAACAGGCAUACUGUUGCUGCGUUUAACCUCACUGAAGCCAGACUAAUCCAGAGAUGUUCUUAGCUUCCUGUGACUCAUAUGAAGGUUAUCAUUUUAGAAGAGACCUUGAAAACAUACUCUGGAUUUAGGGGGGAAAAAAAACUCUGACAUUUCCAAGAGGAAAAGCUUUUUUUAAGUUUUAUAUUGUAGAUGCAGAGCUUAAAGCAUUUAAACACAUACAGCAAGCAAUAUAAUAUGAAUCAUGUAACAAAAGUUAAAUUUAAGUGAAAACCUUGUGUGGUAUGUUGCAGUCACAAAAGAAGAUACAAAAUUAAUGUGGACACCUGCUUGUUUUACUUGUAUCAGGAGAAAAUAAAAUUAAUUGUCAUUUAAUGAAUUGCUUUCUGUUGUAGCACACUUAAUUAUCUCUUCCUGUAACCCCAAGAAGUAUCUUUUCAAACUCACAGCUGUAUCUGAAUAGGGGCUACCAACUAAAGAGACUGUUUCCUUGCCACAGGUGAUCACAGGCUUAGGCAAACCCAGACCGUAUUUAGCUGUUGGCCUUCUGUUUCCCUUAACACAGGAGAUGAAUGCUAACCCCUUUUCCAGCUAGCUGCAUGUGGAACAGUUCUGGCUUCAGUCCCCUGCCACCUGCCGGCUCUGGGAUCUCAGGGUGCUCCUGGGAGAAUCAUAGGAAUGCGGAUGAACCCCUGAAAGAGACCUGAUGGUGCAGAGAAGGCAUCCGACAGAGGAUCAUGAAGCAGAGAGCAAAGAAGUGGGGUUGAAAAGAGGGAGGUAUACGCGGAGAUUGUUUUUCAUCUCAAAAUGUGCCAUUGUAUUCUACAUUCUCCUUGAAACAUUUCAAGGGCUCCAUUUGCAUAUAUUAGAUGUUUACUUCUUUUCACAUCAUGUUCUCCAUUCCUACCGAAUUACGUGUCAAUCUAUGAACUGUUUCUCCUUUGUACUUCUGUCACUUUAGUACAUUAACAAUUGCAAGUAGAGGUUUUCCACAGUGUGUUUUCCUCUUGGUACAACUUCUUUUGAAUCUAUCCUGUGUAUACAGAAAGAUCUCAAGCGUGUGGGCCAGUCAGAAUGAAGCCAAGCCCGCACUGGUGGAAGUCUACAUUCUAGAAGGGCUCCAAAGACACAAGGACACACAGUUGCAGUGAUUACAGUACUCAAACCUACCUAGAUUAGUUGCAAAGAUACUUCUUUAGCACUAUUUUCACAUUAAUUCUAUUAUUGUUUAAAUAUAAUUGCGUUUCUCUAGUUGAUGUAAGUAAAUCCUUUGCUUAAAAUAUUUCAUUUUGUUUCAACUGUUAAUUUGUUUUCUGAAAUGAGUGUAAUAAAUACAAAUUUUUAUUUGUCCUAACAAUUAAAAUGCAUGGAUUAACCCCCAGCUUGUACAAAUGCAGAAUCAUUACUAUCCCUAACAAUGUAAAACUCUGACAAAUUAGAUAUCACUAUUUCUUAAGGAAAAUUGAUCAUAAGAUAAUUUUUGGACCUAAAAAUCUGCAUUUGUCUCAAGCACAUUUAACAUGCAUUCAUGGGAGAAGGAUCAUCUUUUUUCUGUUUCAUAUACAACUCUGUUAAGUGGAUAUCUUAUGUUUUCUUACAUUUCCUGCAUAUAAUUUAAAGGAAAAAAAAGCCACCCAAAAAGAGAAUAGAGGGAAUGAAUGUCUCAAUCCUUUUUUAAUUGUAUCACUGAUUCUUGGGGGGGUAUAGUGUGAUAGCUUCUGUAUUUUCUUUACUCCCUCCCUCCCCAAUUUUACUGAGUUGUGGUUGACUAUAACAUUGUAUAAGUUUAAAGAGUACAACAUAAUGAUUUGAUACAUGCAUAUAAUGUGAAAUGAUUACCACAAUAAAUUUAGUUAACAUCUGUCACCUCA